GGAGCGAGGGUGCUUGCACCUUAGCUUAGCGGCGGACGGGUGAGUAAUGCUUAGGAAUCUGCCUAUUAGUGGGGGACAACAUUCCGAAAGGAAUGCUAAUACCGCAUACGCCCUACGGGGGAAAGCAGGGGAUCUUCGGACCUUGCGCUAAUAGAUGAGCCUAAGUCGGAUUAGCUAGUUGGUGGGGUAAAGGCCUACCAAGGCGACGAUCUGUAGCGGGUCUGAGAGGAUGAUCCGCCACACUGGGACUGAGACACGGCCCAGACUCCUACGGGAGGCAGCAGUGGGGAAUAUUGGACAAUGGGCGGAAGCCUGAUCCAGCCAUGCCGCGUGUGUGAAGAAGGCCUUUUGGUUGUAAAGCACUUUAAGCGAGGAGGAGGCUACUUAGAUUAAUACUCUAGGAUAGUGGACGUUACUCGCAGAAUAAGCACCGGCUAACUCUGUGCCAGCAGCCGCGGUAAUACAGAGGGUGCGAGCGUUAAUCGGAUUUACUGGGCGUAAAGCGUGCGUAGGCGGCUUUUUAAGUCGGAUGUGAAAUCCCCGAGCUUAACUUGGGAAUUGCAUUCGAUACUGGGAAGCUAGAGUAUGGGAGAGGAUGGUAGAAUUCCAGGUGUAGCGGUGAAAUGCGUAGAGAUCUGGAGGAAUACCGAUGGCGAAGGCAGCCAUCUGGGCUAGUACUGACGCUGAGGUACGAAAGCAUGGGGAGCAAACAGGAUUAGAUACCCUGGUAGUCCAUGCCGUACACGAUGUCUACUAGCCGUUGGGGCCUUUGAGGCUUUAGUGGCGCAUCU
rnacentral:rRNA from 1 species